GGGAGCGAGAGGGGGGCGGCCGGGGAGUCAGGGAGGUCCGGCCGCUCGGGUGCGCGCUGUGCGCGGCUGCCAUUUUGGAGUCGGGCAGCUGAGACGGCGGCCGGGUCCGACCCGGGGGAAAGGGAGGAGCCAGUCAGAUGAGAAGAUGGAGGCCUAAAGUAUUGAAGAGAAAUGGCCAUUGUCACAAACCUGGUGAGUGAACUUCUGUUGUUCGAGCAGCCCCCUUGGGAGCCUCAGCAGUGCCUUGGAAAUCUCCCACCCCAAGCAGCUUCCUGAGAUGUUCUGAGAGAGAGAGCAAAAGCAGGGGAGUGGCAGACGGGAAGAAGCAGCCUCCUCGCUGAGCAAGGAGCCUGAUGUGGGACUCGAAACCAGGACCCUGGGAUCAUGACCUGAGUUGAAGGCAGACACUUAACCGACUAAGCCACCUGGGCAUCCCAUCUUUUCUGAAGUCUUGCAACCUUCCUGAGGCUCUGCUGAGGAUACAAGGAACAUGUCCUCUCUAUUCCCAGACCCCAUAAAAACAUCUGGGAUUGCGCCACUUUCCCUAGGCCGAGGAGAGUUUGUUGGCAAACCAUGGAGGAGGCACCAGCGUGACCAUGGGCGCUUUUGCAGCAGCGCGUUUUUCCCCUGACUGCCUGGCUGGAGCUCACUUGUUCCGAGGGAGCUGCUGAGCUAAGUACGCUCGUCCGCGCAUGAGCCAGCUCCUUGAACACGCAGCUUUGUUGCGAUUCAUAAAGAUGCCAGGUGAACAUUUAAUUUAUAAAAGGAGGACAGUGUGAGAAGGUGACUGGCCAGUGGGCCACGGUUUGCUGACCUUUCAUCUUGAACAACGGCAGAGAUGUCGAAAAAUGGUGAGUUCAUUUGGGAAGCUAGGAGUUCCGUGGAGCUGCGCAGCAGACCGAUUCCUGUGGGGAUGUGGGGUGAGGCCCGCCAACUGUGCCCUUUACCGAUAAACACGACAUAAGGAGGCCUGGAGGAGGACUGUCUGGUGCUGUCAGAAAGGCCAGAUGACUCGUAGGCAGCAGCCCUGGGGCUGGAUUCGGGAAGAGCUGCUAGUCUGAGGCGCAAACCACUCACACAGACGGAGCAAGCUCCGCCAACCCCACAGACUUCACACUUCUGCCUCCCGCGGCCGCUCUGUGAGAGGACAAGCAGAUUCUGGAUCUGACCGCACCUUCAGAUGGUCAGCUCUCCUGCCAUAUUCCUCAUUGCUGCUGAACAAACAUCACCGUGUCACCACUCUGUCACCAGCCCAGCUUCUCUCACAGCUGGUGGCUCAGCCCAGAGAAAUUGAAGGACAAUUCUGUGGAGAAUAUGACCAUCUCAAGAGGAAAUAUCUACAGAUACUGACUUUGAGUCCCCUCACGAACAACCUAACUAGGUCAUCCUACAUUCGUGAUUCUCAACUAGGGACACAUGGAAAUGUCUGGAAAAAGUUUUGUCCCAAACCUGGUGGCGGGAGUGCUAUCAGCAGCUCGUGGGUAGAGAGGCCAGGGAUGUUGCCAAGUCCCCUACAGUGCACAAUCCCACAACAAAGAAUUACCCAGUGCAAAAUGUCAGUGGUGUCACUGUUGAUAAACUCUGUCCUACAUGAAAUUCCUGAAACUCAUGCCCUACAUGAAACUUGCCCAUCAACACAAGCAAUGCUUCCAAAAGUUUCCUACUCUAUUACAAGAGCAGAAAACAAAAACAAUGGCCAGACAACAGAGGAGGACUUCUAAUAAGAUGGGGAUGUAAACAAACAGAUAAAAGCAACUGGAUAAAGGGGUGCCUGGGUGGCUCAGUUGGUUGUGUCUGACUCUUGAUCUCAGCUCAGGUCUUGAUGUCAGGGUUGUGAGUUCAAGCCCCUCAUCGGGCUCUAUGCCCCAUUGGGCUCUACAGAGCCUACUUAAAGCAAACAAAAAACGCAACUGGAAAAAGAAACUCUGUAGGAAGAAGAAAACUCUAAAAAACUAUAUUUGACUUCCACUUAUGACCAUGAUUAGUGGGGACCAGAUUUACCUUCCUGCUCUAAACAACUAGAAGACUGGACAAAAUUUAGAAAACUAUUUUCCAAUAUUGGAUAACAGGCAGCUCAGGACUUCCUCUCACAUCUAAGCUCUGGAUUUGACUUUUUUUUUUAACAUUAAGUGUUUUACUUUAUUUCAAGUAUAGUUAACAGUGUUAUGUUAGUUUCAGGUGUGUAAUACAGUGAUUCAACAAUUCUGUACUCAGUUCUAAUCAUGAUAAGCGUACCUUUUCUGGAUUUGACUUUUGUGUGUAGAGAUCCAGUUUGAAUUUACUGAAGCAUUUCCCCACUGAUUUACAAUGCCAACUUCCCAUACAGGAAGGGAUUCAUCUACUCCUGGUCUCUCUGUUUCGGUCUUUGUGCUGGUACCAUACUGUGUUAAUUCUUUACAACGUUGUUGGAAACUCAAAUCCAUAUGUUUGAUCUUUAAGUUGCUAAAACUACAAAUUAGCAGGACGUAAAAUUAAAAACCAAGAACACUAUUGCCAUCUGGUGGAGAGACCUACUAUUACUACAUCUAAAUGAGACCUGCUGUGACUCACCUCCUCACUCCCCCAUUUAGCGGAGUCCUGAAAACUCUUCAUUAGGUCUUUCUAAUCUGUCCCUUCACUUCCAUUCUCCUGGUACCUACACCUUAGUCUACUUUCUACUUUGCUAGGAUUGUUGCUUUUGAACCAGCCCCCCUCUUUAGUCACUGUUCUGUCAAUAUUGUCCUUGUUCCUAUUGUUACACCUUACAAUUUCACAUUAAUUUGAUGGGUCGCUUACCAAGUUCUCGCUUAUGAGAAAACAUUUUGGAACCAGUAACAGCAGUCUGACUAGGGACAAACAGAGAACAGAGUAGAGGCUCGAUAAAUGUUAGCUGAAUUGAAAAAAAUUAUUUAGUACCAUUUGCUCAUUUGCCAAAUUUAUCUGGGAGGCAGCGUAGGCCCAUGUUUCCAACCCUUUUUUUCCUUCUGUAAUACCAGACUGAUGAAAACUUCACAUGUAAUUUUUCUGUAGGCUUACCUAAAAAAUUAUUUUUAAUUGCAAAAUACAUGGCCAAUGUAAAAAAAGAUUCAGAGUUCUGCCAAUGAGUGACUCUAUGGAUGAUGUUGGGAGCCAGGGUUUCUCACUGAGGAAGAAGAUACAAAUAUAGAAUGGGGGAAGACAAGGAAGAACCCAGUGGGGCUGAAUUGGAGUUGGAGGUUUUAGUAAAACUUAUCGUUUCUAGUAUCUAUGUUUCUUAGCUCUUUCUGUUGAAGGGGCCUAGACCCAAUGGCAAUCCAGCAGGGACCAGACCUUAGUAUCCAAACACCGUUCUCCACUAAGAGAAACUAGGGAUUGUUGGAGAAAUGGCUGCUUCCAGGGCUGGGCAGGAAAAAAAUAUAGGAUAAACUUGAAACCUCUGUGCUACAAAGUAAGGAAUUCUUCAAGAAAGGAUGAGAACGUGUCUGAAAGACCCAGGACCCACCUUGAAAGGUCCCACUGGCCAAAUCUGGGACAACUUGACAUCAAAACAAAUGAGAGUAACAGACCUGAGUAAAAUAGCAAUCCAUGAAUUUAUGCUAAGUUGGAAAAAGGAAGCUUUUCCUUACAGCAGAAUGCCAACUAAUAAAUGUAAAAGUAAUGAUAGAAUUGGAAAGCCAUUCGGCAACUCUCAGGGUAACAAUUAAUUCAGCCAAGAAACAUCCCUGAAUGCUAAAAUUAGUGUGUGAAAGUUUGCUGAGAAACAAUAUAUAUAGUCUCAAAGUUUCUCCCUACAAAAUGCUUAAUGGAAAAAAAUAUUAACUUUAUAGUGGAGAAAUCUAGCAGACACCACCUAAAACCAGUGACUGAAAUUAACUCCUGGUAAUGGGACAACUGACACCAUGGUAAGAUGCGCUGAAAAGGAUGUAGCAUCACUUCUAUGAUAUUCCUGCCAACAAUGCGUGAACUCAAACUAAUUGUGAAGGAAUGUCAGAAAUACUCAGAUCAAGGGAGAAUUUGUAAAAUAAUUGACCUAUGUGUUUCAUGACCUUGACCUUUGUGAAAGACAGAUUGAAGAAUUGUUCUAGACUAAAGGGAGACUAGAGACAUGGGAACUAAAUGUACUGUGUUAUCCUGAUUUGGACCCUGGACUUAUUUUUUGUUUUAACAAAGGCCAUUACUGGGACAACUAGUGAAAUACGGAAAAGAUUAGGUAAUAGUAUUGUAUUGAUGUUAAUUUUGAUAAUUGUGCUUGGUUAUGUAAGAAAAUAUCCUCGUUCUUAGGAAUACACACCUAAGUAUUUGUGGUAAAAGGGCAUCGUGUCUGUAACUAACACUCCGAUGGUCAGAAAAAGCGCAUUUAUUCUAUACAGGUAUCUAUGCUGAUAAAGGGAACUCUCUCCCUUAGUGUCAGAUGACAACUAGGUAAUACAGAAAGAAUGAUGUAGUUAGAAAAUCACAGUUUUGUAAACAUCACUGUAAAAAACAUUUUCAGGUAAGAAUCAUCAAAGGAGGCUAAAGCUACAAGGGGCAGGUGUAUGAGGAAUAGAAUAUCAACACGGUCUCGAAAGUUUCUCCUCACAAAUUAUCUACUAACUGCAAAAAGAAAAAUAGUAACUAUCCAGUGGAGAAAUUGGAUGACAUCUUACCCAACUGAGCAAAAUGGACAUCGAUAUGGGGCAAAGGGAUAUUGUGGAGUCUGGAUGUGACACUGGGAGGCCAUGUCACUCCCAGCAUGUUAGCUCACACUGCGUAAGCCAAACCUAACCACAAGGAAACAAAAAUCCACACUGAAGGAGAAUCUGUAUUUUAGCUGUCCUGUACUCUGAUCCAUCAAUACUACAAAGACAAAGGCUUAAGGACCGUUCUAGAUGACAGAGUCAUGAGAAUCCAACAUACGAUCCUGGACUAGAUUCCGUAGCUGAAAAAAACAAUUACCAAUGGAACAACAACUGAGAUUGGAACAGGGGCUGUGGAUGAAAGUAUUCUAUCACUGUUAAAUGCCUGAAUUGGAGAGCUGUACAUAGUGGGCCUGUUUUCAUGAAGUACAUCUCUAACAUUAAAGGUGAAAAGGUACGUCUACAACGUACUCUCAGAUGGGUCAAGAAAAAACUAUAUAAGAAGAGAUUAAAAAAGAAGUCAAAAUGCAGAACAAUGUAGGUUUCUUCUACUUAAAAUUCUCAGAACAUAUACAUAUAUAUGUGCGUAAAUAUAUAUAUUUCUAGGACACUAUAAUUAGUAGUCUCUUGCUCCCCCAUGUAAGGGAAAUAGGAACUAAAAUGUUUCAGGUCGUUGGCAUGAGGGCAAAACAGUUCAGUGUCUCUUUUCUCAACCAUCAGUUCCACUCCACAGAGAAAACAGAUGAUUUUUAUAUGUGCACACAAGCUUUUGCACAUGUGUAAUUCUUACAUCAUUUUGAUGGCUGCAUAGUUUAUAAAUGGAUGUACUUAAAAGUCUUCUACCAGGGAUGUACUGUAUGGUGACUAACAUAAUAUAAUAAAAAAUCAUUAAAAAACUAAAAAUAAAAAAAAAUAAAAGUCUUCUAUUGGUAUUUGUUUCUAAUAUAUAUAUUUUAAAUACAAAGAUUUUAAAAAAUAUGUUAUUUCAUCAUAUUUACAUUUACUUUGAUAAAAGCUGUUUGGCCUUAAUUCUGCUAUAGUUUUUGUUUUUUUAGGGGUGGGGAGAGUGAUGGAGAGAGAGAAAGAUGGGGGAGGGGCAGAGGGAGAAGGAGAGAGAGAAUCUUAAGCAGGCUCCACUCCCAGCACAUAG